rnacentral:rRNA from 1 species
UAAGACGAACCGUGCGAACGUUGUUCGGAAUCACUGGGCUUAAAGGGCGCGUAGGCGGACUACCAAGUCAGUGGUGAAAUCCUGCGGCUCAACCGCAGAAGUGCCUUUGAUACUGGUGGUCUCGAGGGAGGUAGGGGCAUGUGGAACUUCCGGUGGAGCGGUGAAAUGCGUAGAUAUCGGAAGGAACGCCGGUGGCGAAAGCGACGUGCUGGACCUCUACUGACGCUGAGGCGCGAAAGCCAGGGGAGCAAACGGGAUUAGAUACCCCGGUAGUCCUGGCCCUAAACGAUGGGUACUAGGUAGUGGACUUACAUGGGUUCACUGCCGAAGCAAAAGUAUUAAGUACCCCGCCUGGGGAGUAUGGUCGCAAGGCUG